rnacentral:rRNA from 1 species
GGAGCACGCCGCGUGAAUGAAGACGGUCUUCGGAUUGUAAAGUUCUGUCAUUUGGGACGAGCGACCUUGAGAGGAAAUGCUCGAGGUGAGACGGUACCAAAGGAGGAAGCCCCGGCUAACUACGUGCCAGCAGCCGCGGUAAUACGUAGGGGGCAAGCGUUGUCCGGAAUGACUGGGCGUAAAGCGCGCGCAGGCGGUCUUUCGCGUCUGGGGUGAAAGGUCAGGGCUCAACCCUGACAUGGCCUUGGAAACGGGGAGACUUGAGGGUCGGAGAGGUCAGGGGAAUUCCACGUGUAGCGGUGAAAUGCGUAGAUAUGUGGAGGAAUACCAGUGGCGAAGGCGCCUGACUGGACGAAACCUGACGCUGAGGCGCGAAGGCGUGGGGAGCAAACAGGAUUAGAUACCCUGGUAGUCCACGCGGUAAACGAUGAGUGCUAGGUGUCGGAGGGUACCACCUCCGGUGCCGAAGGAAACCCACUAAGCACUCCGCCUGGGGAGUACGGUCGCAAGACUGAAACUCAAAGGAAUUGACGGGGGCCCGCACAAGCAGUGGAGCAUGUGGUUUAAUUCGAAGCAACGCGAAGAACCUUACCAGGGCUUGACAUCGGCGUGACGGGAUCAGAGAUGAUCCGUCCCUUCGGGGCACGCUAGACAGGUGGUGCAUGGUUGUCGUCAGCUCGUGUCGUGAGAUGUUGGGUUAAGUCCCGCAACGAGCGCAACCCUUGAUCGAUGUUACCAGCGCGUAAAGGCGGGGACUCAUCGAUGACUGCCGGUGACAAACCGGAGGAAGGCGGGGAUGACGUCAAAUCAUCAUGCCCCUUAUGUCCUGGGCUACACACGUGCUACAAUGGGCGGUACAACGGGAAGCGAGACCGCGAGGU